GCGAGCGGCGGAUGGGUGAGUAACACGUNGGGAACCUGCCCCUAAGUCUGGGAUACCAUUUGGAAACAGGUGCUAAUACCGGAUAAUAAAGCAGAUCGCAUGAUCAGCUUUUGAAAGGCGGCGUAAGCUGUCGCUAAGGGAUGGCCCCGCGGUGCAUUAGCUAGUUGGUAAGGUAACGGCUUACCAAGGCGACGAUGCAUAGCCGAGUUGAGAGACUGAUCGGCCACAUUGGGACUGAGACACGGCCCAAACUCCUACGGGAGGCAGCAGUAGGGAAUCUUCCACAAUGGACGCAAGUCUGAUGGAGCAACGCCGCGUGAGUGAAGAAGGUUUUCGGAUCGUAAAGCUCUGUUGUUGGUGAAGAAGGAUAGAGGUAGUAACUGGCCUUUAUUUGACGGUAAUCAACCAGAAAGUCACGGCUAACUACGUGCCAGCAGCCGCGGUAAUACGUAGGUGGCAAGCGUUGUCCGGAUUUAUUGGGCGUAAAGCGAGCGCAGGCGGAAAAAUAAGUCUAAUGUGAAAGCCCUCGGCUUAACCGAGGAACUGCAUCGGAAACUGUUUUUCUUGAGUGCAGAAGAGGAGAGUGGAACUCCAUGUGUAGCGGUGGAAUGCGUAGAUAUAUGGAAAGAACACCAGUGGCGAAGGC
rnacentral:rRNA from 1 species